GAUAAAGAACGCAGCGAAAUGCGAUACGUAGUGUGAAUUGCAGAAUUCAGUGAAUCAUCGAAUCUUUGAACGCACAUUGCACCUCUCGGUAUUCCGGGAGGUAUGCCUGUUCGAGCGUCAUUUGUACCCUCAAGCUCUGCUUGGUGUUGGGUGUUUGUUCCGCCUCUGUGUGUGAACUCGCCUCAAAACAAUUGGCAGCCGGCGUACUUGUUUCGGAGCGCAGCACAUUUUGCGAUCCAGAUCAACGUACAGCGGCAUCCAAGAAGCCUUAUUUAACGCUCUUGACCUCGGAUCAGGUAGGGAUACCCGCUGAACUUAAGCAUAUCAAUAAGCGGAGGA
rnacentral:misc_RNA from 1 species